rnacentral:rRNA from 19 species
GUGACCUCAAAUCAGGUAGGACUACCCGCUGAACUUAAGC